rnacentral:lncRNA from 1 species
CCAUAAUGAGCAACCCACCAUGCCUCGUUCUCGGCAGGAUGCACCGAGUGAGGCACGAACUCCAUCUUCGGAACGACGAGCUCUUCAUAAGGACUCGCGGAUGAAGACCCUUUUUUGCAAUCUUUUUCUUGCUCGACAUCUUUACACUUCUCUUGAGAGAAUAGAGGAAAAGGGUAGAGAGAAAGAUAGAAAGUUUUUUUUUUUUUAAGAAAGAUCUUAGAGAAAGACAAGAAAGUGAAAAAAUUAUGGAACAAGUUACCUCC